UGGGGGAUAUUGCACAAUGGGCGAAAGCCUGAUGCAGCGACGCCGCGUGGGGGAUGAAGGCCUUCGGGUUGUAAACUUCUUUUGCUCUGAACAAGGCAUGCCUUUGGGGUGUGUUGAGUGUAGGGGUUGAUUAGCGCCGGCUAACUACGUGCCAGCAGCCGCGGUAAUACGUAGGGCGCGAGCGUUGUCCGGAAUUAUUGGGCGUAAAGGGCUUGUAGGUGGCUGGUUGCGUCUGUCGUGAAAGCUCAUGGCUUAACUGUGGGUUUGCGGUGGGUACGGGCUGGCUUGAGUGCAGUAGGGGAGGCUGGAAUUCCUGGUGUAGCGGUGGAAUGCGCAGAUAUCAGGAGGAAUACCGGUGGCGAAGGCGGUUCUCUGGACCUUUCCUGACGCUGAGAAGCGAAAGCGUGGGUAGCAAACAGG
rnacentral:rRNA from 1 species